GGAGGAGGGAAGGAGGGAGAGAGAGAGAGGGGAAGGGAGCGGGGCCCAGGAGGAGGGAAGGAGGGAGAGAGAGAGAGAGAAUGGGGCGGGGGCCCAGGAGGAGGGUAGGAGAGUAUGGGGGCCCAGGAGGAGGGAAGGAGGGAGAGAGAGAGAGAGAGAGAGAGAGAGAGAGGAGCGGGGGCCAGGAGGAGGGAAGGAGGGAGAGAGAGAGAGAGAGAGAGAAGAAUGGGGUGGGGGCCAGGAGGAGGGAAGGAGGGAGAGAGAGAGAGAGAGAGAGAGAGAGAGAGGAGCGGGGGGGGACCAGGAGGAUGGAAGGAGGGAGAGAGAGAGAGAGAGAGAAGGGAGCGGGGGCCCAGGAGGAGGGAAGGAGGGAGAGAGAGAGAGAGAAGGGAGUGGGGGCCAGGAGGAGGGAAGGAGGGAGAGAGAGAGAGAAGGGAGCGGGGGCCAGGAGGAGGGAAGGAGGGAGAGAGAGAGAGAAGGGGAGGAGAGAGGAGGGAGAGAGAAGGGAGCGGGGGCCAGGAGGAGGGAAGGAGGGAGAGAGAGAGAGAGAGAGAGAGAAGGGAGCGGGGGCCCAGGAGGAGGGAAGGAGGGAAGGAGGGAGAGAGGGAGA
ensembl:lncRNA